rnacentral:rRNA from 1 species
AGAGUUUGAUCAUGGCUCAGAACGAACGCUGGCGGCAGGCCUAACACAUGCAAGUCGAACGCGCGUAGCAAUACGCGAGUGGCGCACGGGUGAGUAAUACGUGGGAAUCAACCCUGAGGUUCGGAAUAACCGCGGGAAACUGCGGCUAAUACCGGAUGUCCCCUACGGGGGAAAGAUUUAUCGCCUUGGGACGAGCCCACGUCCGAUUAGCUAGUUGGUGAGGUAAUGGCUCACCAAGGCUACGAUCGGUAGCUGGUCUGAGAGGACGACCAGCCACACUGGAACUGAGACACGGUCCAGACUCCUACGGGAGGCAGCAGUGGGGAAUAUUGGGCAAUGGAGGCAACUCUGACCCAGCCAUGCCGCGUGGGUGACGAAGGUCUUCGGAUUGUAAAGCCCUUUCGGCGGGGACGAUGAUGACGGUACCCGCAGAAGAAGCCCCGGCUAACUUCGUGCCAGCAGCCGCGGUAAUACGAAGGGGGCUAGCGUUGUUCGGAAUUACUGGGCGUAAAGGGCGUGUAGGCGGCCCGUUAAGACAGGUGUGAAAUUCCUGGGCUCAACCCAGGACGUGCGCCUGUGACUGGCGGUGAGUCCGGGAGAGGAUGGUGGAACUCCCAGUGUAGAGGUGAAAUUCGUAGAUAUUGGGAAGAACACCCGUGGCGAAGGCGGCCAUCUGGACCGGUACUGACGCUAAGGCGCGACAGCGUGGGGAGCAAACAGGAUUAGAUACCCUAGUAGUCC